rnacentral:rRNA from 1 species
CCUACGGGGGGCAGCAGUGAGGAAUAUUGGACAAUGGGCGAACGCCUGAACCAGCCAAGUCGCGUGAGGGAAGACUGCCCUAUGGGUUGUAAACCUCUGUUGUCAGGGAGCAACGCCGGCUACGUGUAGCCGGACUGAGAGUACCGGAAGAAAAAGCAUCGGCAAACUCCGUGCCAGCAGCCGCGGGAAUAUGGAGGAUGCGAUGGUUACAUGGAUUUAUUGGGUUUAAAGGGUGCGUAGGCGGAAUGCCAAGUCAGCGGUAAAAUCGCGGGGCUCAACCUCGCUCCGCCGUUGAAACUGGCGUUCUUGAGUGGGCGAGAGGUAUGCGGAAUGCGUGGUGUAGCGGUGAAAUGCAUAGAUAUCACGCAGAACUCCGAUUGCGAAGGCAGCAUACCGGCGCCCAACUGACGCUGAGGCACGAAAGCGUGGGUAUCGAACAGGAUUAGAUACCCUAGUAGUC